rnacentral:rRNA from 1 species
AGUGAACGCUGGCGGUAGGCCUAACACAUGCAAGUCGAACGGCAACACAGUAAGAUUUUGCCCCUACCGUUGGCGAGUGGCGGACGGGUAAGGCGUGCAUAGGCAUCUUCUUUGUCUUGGGUGACUACGUAAGGCAACUUACACUAAUACCUCAUAUAAUGUACCGCUUGAAUCAAUAGAUCUUGAGACCUUUGCUGUCUCAAUUAGCCGGAGCCGCAUUACCUAGUUGGCGAGGUAACGUCCCACCAAGGCAACGAUGCGUAGCUGGUCUGAGAGGAUGAUCGGCCACACUGGAACUGAGACACGGUCCAGACUCCUACGGGAGGCAGCAGUAGGGAAUCUUCCGCAAUGGGCGAAAGCCUGACGCAGCAACGCCGCGUGAGUGAAGAAGGCCUUCGGAUCGUAAAGCUCUGUUAUUAGGGAAGAACAGAUGUGUAAGUAACCACGCCUGUUCUGACGGUACCUAAACAGAAAGCAACGGCUAACUUCGUG